GACGUAGGAGGCGAGCGUCGUCCGGAUUCAUUGGGCGUAAAGGAGCACGCAGGCGGUUUGGCAAGUCGGAUGUGAAAACCCGAAGCUCAACUUCGGGCCUGCAUCCGAAACUGCCCGACUAGAGGUAGGUAGGGGAGAUCGGAAUUCCUGGUGUAGCGGUGAAAUGCGCAGAUAUCAGGAGGAACACCGGUGGCGAAGGCGGGUCUCUGGGGCCGAUAUUGACGCUGAGGAGCGAAAGCGUGGGGAGCAAACAGG
rnacentral:rRNA from 1 species